rnacentral:rRNA from 1 species
UACGUAGGUGGCGAGCGUUGUCCGGAUUUAUUGGGCGUAAAGCGCGCGCAGGUGGUGCGGUAAGUCUGUCGUGAAAUCGCCCGGCUCAACUGGGCGGGGUCGGCGGAUACGGCGUGGCUGGAGCAAGCUAGGGGGCAGUGGAAUUCCCGGUGUAGUGGUGGAAUGCGUAGAUAUCGGGAGGAACACCAGUGGCGAAGGCGGCUGCCUGGGGCUUUGCUGACGCUGAUGCGCGAAAGCGUGGGGAGCGAGUCCGG